UAUUACGCGAUUAUAAAAGUAGCGAGAUAACUAACAAAUAGCUUCACGUAAUGUCCCCGUUAAUGAAUUCAGCGGUUGAUGUAUCACGCGGGCCUCUGAACUCAGGUGUUGACCACGUAAAGCACACGAACCGGGCGCUCGCGCAGCUGAGCACGCAGAGGAAGAGCAGCGCGCACAGGGCGGGGAACUCGCUGGAAGCGGCCGCCAUCGGCGUCUCCUACUCAAACGAAAGUGAUGCGGUUUUCUGCCGAGAGUUUUCGGAGGAUGAGGGAUCCGCCCCGCGAGGAGGCGCCGCAGCAACCGGGGGAUUACUUUUUCUCAGUUUGUGACUCGUGACUACGUAUAGCCUGUGAAUAACACAUUUGACGUGUUGGUCUCAACUAAAUGUUGGCAACCGUAUGUUGUUGUGUGCUAUAUGUUGACAUUUACGGUAUUAAACAAGAAGCCGGUAUAAAAGCUGUUGACUGGAGUUGUUUUAGGGUAGAAUUCUGACUAAUCUUGUACAAAAAAUGAAUGCUUUUACUGUACAGUUAGUUAGAUAAUUAAUUAAUUAAGUAAAAAAAUAUAUAUAUAAGUUGAAAAUGCCCAUUUCUAAAUAUUUGAACCGGCAAGGAUACUGAAUAUGAAGUAUUUUACAAAUUUCUCCAAAGUUAAAGGUACCGUAAAUGUCUGCGUAUACGUGCACUAAAAUUCCAGUGUCCGCUUGAGUUGACCGCAUUCAUGAACCAUCUCGGGAAUGGUUUAAAGAGGGCCCAAAAUACAGGGACAUAGAAUAUACCAUAAAUAUAUUAAUUAAUCAAUAAUUCUAAAUUUGUUUCAAUGCAUGAUGCUGGGAAUAUGUUUCUAGUUGUUGUUUUUUGUAAGAAUCCAAGCUCAAACUCACAUUAUCUGCAUUGGAAUAAGUUACAGCCCUUAAAAAUAAAUAAAAAGCCAUGAGCAUUUGUUUGGUGUGAAGAUUAGUCUGUGCGAAACUCAAAUUGUGCCACUAGGAGGUGGCAUUGCUCUUUGUAUACGAUGACAGGCGGAGAUUGCUAAAAAUGAUAUUCAGUGAUGCAUAUUCAAACUAGAUUGUUUAAAAUAUUCAAUACCAACAGCAGAUUUGCCAUACAACAGAAACUGCCUGUAGACAUAAACUACCCAGCUUUACUGCAUGCACUGUGUUUGUAAUUCAUUCCUUUUAAAUCUCUGCAGUACUUUUAUUGUGUUAUGAGCGCCCGGUUGUAAAGUUUAGAACAUGCAUGUUUGCCGUAUCAGCAGCACCUCAUACUGACUCAUUUCUGGCUUAUUCUCUUCUUGGACAGGUCAUUUGCAAAAUACAGAUAUGGCGGUUAUGUCGGUAAGCAAAGCACCACACAGCUGGAUUUCGGCAACCCCUCUGGCCAUAACAAUACAUGCAUCCAUAUAAUCGUACUCUUUGGUUUAUAACGUUAUUUUGGAGUGAGUUAAUGAUGUCCUCAUGUGCUAUACGAGUCAUUUCUGUAGCAGGAAAUGCUUUCUUUCUAAAUGAAUGCCUCACUCCCACCCUAUACUAAAUAAAUGCCAUAUUUGUUUGAUCUCUGCCAA